UACGUAGGGGGCAAGCGUUGUCCGGAUUUAUUGGGCGUAAAGCGCUCGCAGGUGGUUCGUUGCGUCGUGCGUGAAAGACCCCGGCUCAACUGGGGGGUGUCGUGCGAUACGGGCGGACUGGAGGCCAGUAGGGGGAUGCGGAAUUCCGGGUGUAGUGGUGGAAUGCGUAGAGAUCCGGAGGAACACCAGCGGCGAAGGCGGCAUCCUGGACUGGUCCUGACACUCAUGAGCGAAAGCGUGGGGAGCGAUCCGG
rnacentral:rRNA from 1 species